GACUCUCGGCAACGGAUAUCUAGGCUCUCGCAUCGAUGAAGAACGUAGCAAACUGCGAUACUUGGUGUGAAUUGCAGAAUCCCGUGAACCAUCGAGUCUUUGAACGCAAGUUGCGCCCGAAGCCAUUAGGCCGAGGGCACGUCUGCCUGGGCGUCACGCAUCGC
rnacentral:rRNA from 3 species